rnacentral:tRNA from 1 species
GUUUGGGGAGGUAACUCAAUGGUAGAGUGCUUGCCUAGCAUGUUCAAGGGCCUGGGUUCGAUUCUCAGUAUUGAAACA